CAAACAUUUUGCUGGUCCACCCUGACAGGGAUGACAUUAAGAUCUGUGAUUUUGGCUUUGCCCAAAGGAUAAAUCCAUCACAGCCUCAGCACAGCACUUAUGGAUCUCCAGAAUUUGUCCCACCAGAAGUACUGUCCAGGUCUCCAGUGUCAAUGGCCUCGGACGUCUGGCCAGUUGGAGUUAUUAGCUAUUUAAGCUUGACCUGCAAGUCUCCCUUUGCUGGGGAAAAUGACCGUGCAACCCUGCUUAACGUCCAGAAUGGGAUCGUUGCAUGGAAUAGCUCUGAUUGGGAUCAUCUGAGCAAAGAAGCCAAGGAUUUUAUUGAAAAAAUCCUUCAACCAGC